rnacentral:rRNA from 1 species
UACGUAGGGGGCAAGCGUUGUCCGGAAUUAUUGGGCGUAAAGCGCGCGCAGGCGGUUCAUUAAGUUUGGUGUUUAAUCCCGGGGCUCAACCCCGGUUCGCACUGAAAACUGGUGGACUUGAGUGCAGGAGAGGAAAGCGGAAUUCCACGUGUAGCGGUGAAAUGCGUAGAGAUGUGGAGGAACACCAGUGGCGAAGGCGGCUUUCUGGACUGUAACUGACGCUGAGGCGCGAAAGCGUGGGGAGCAAACAGG